rnacentral:rRNA from 1 species
UACGUAGGGUGCAAGCGUUGUCCGGAAUUAUUGGGCGUAAAGAGCUCGUAGGCGGUCUGUCGCGUCGGCUGUGAAAACUCGGGGCUCAACCCCGAGCCUGCAGUCGAUACGGGCAGACUAGAGUGCUGUAGGGGAGACUGGAAUUCCUGGUGUAGCGGUGAAAUGCGCAGAUAUCAGGAGGAACACCAGUGGCGAAGGCAGGCUC